rnacentral:rRNA from 1 species
UACGUAGGGCGCAAGCGUUGUCCGGAUUUAUUGGGCGUAAAGAGCUCGUAGGCGGUUUGUCGCGUCUUCCGUGAAAACUGGGGGCUUAACUUCCAGCUUGCGGUGGAUACGGGCUGACUGGAGUGCGGCAGGGGAGACUGGAAUUCCUGGUGUAGCGGUGAAAUGCGCAGAUAUCAGGAGGAACACCGGUGGCGAAGGCGGAUCUCUGGGCCUUACCUGACGCUCAGGCGCGAAAGCUAGGGGAGCGAACAGG